rnacentral:rRNA from 1 species
UUCCCCUAGUAACGGCGAGUGAACAGGGAUCAGCCCAGCACCGAAGCCUGUGGUCAUUUGGCCAUUAGGCAAUGUGGUGUUUAGGUCGUUCCGCAGGGACACUGCUCCUCUCUAAGUCCAUCAAUGAGUACGGUUGUACUGACAUGGCCCAUGGAGGGUGAAAGGCCCGUGAGAGAGGAGUUUUGUUGUGACAGUGUCCCUCUGGAUUGACCUUGGAGUCGGGUUGUUUGGGAAUGCAGCCCUAAGCGGGUGGUAAACUCCAUCCAAGGCUAAAUACAAGCACGAGUCCGAUAGCGAACAAGUACCGUGAGGGAAAGUUGAAAAGUACUUUGAAGAGAGAGUAAACAGUGCGUGAAACCGCUUAGAGGUAAACGGGUGGAGUUGAACUGCAAUCUCUGAGAAUUCAGCUGGGGAAAUUUGCUUGAGCUUGGUCAUUUGGGCAGGGCCUCGAGGUAUGCUUAGCUGCAUGUCCUGAUCUCACGGUCGGGAUGCGCGUUGCUCUUAUCAAGGGUUGCGCGCCUCGGGUGUCCGGCUGGCUCGUUCGCCAGUGCACUUUCUCAGAGUGAUCAUCACGACCGGCGCUGCUGCUGGGCUGUUUUAGUUAAAUCGGACAUUCAUCGUCCUUGUGGCGUUGGGUGGUCGACACGGCAGGUAACUGAGUGCUCGCUUCGGCUUGCUUUCCGGUGUAUGCUGGCUCUAACGGUUCUGUGCGGUGUGUCGGAGACGGCGGCUUGUGGUGUGUGCAUGUGUGCCUAUCUGGUGGCAUAUUCUGGUUUGGUAGCUGUGUGCUUGUUCAAGCAGGCCCAGUUAUAGCUGGAGUGUGUCAUUGGGUGGUUGCGUGUGUGUCACUUUUCAGGGCCAACAGUCUGUGAUGUCGUGGUAGACUAUCCACCUGACCCGUCUUGAAACACGGACCAAGGAGAGUAACAUGUACGCGAGUCAUUGGGCGUAACGAAACCCACAGGCGCAGUGAAAGUAAAGGUCUGGCUUGUCCAGUCUAAGGUGAGAUCCUGUCGUUGCUCAUGCGCGGUACCCCCAAGCUUGGAGCGAUAGGCGCAUCACCGGCCCGUCCCAUGACGUGGUCACAGUCCUCGGAUUGUGCGCCGUCGGGGCGGGGCAUGAGCGUACAUGUUGAGACCCGAAAGAUGGUGAACUAUGCUUGCGCAGGUUGAAGCCAGAGGAAACUCUGGUGGAGGACCGCA